UACAGAGGGGGCAAGCGUUGUUCGGAAUUACUGGGCGUAAAGGGCGCGUAGGCGGCCUGCUAAGUCGAACGUGAAAUCCCUGGGCUCAACCCAGGAACUGCGUCCGAUACUGGUUGGCUUGAAUCCGGGAGAGGGAUGUGGAAUUCCAGGUGUAGCGGUGAAAUGCGUAGAGAUGCGGAGGAACACCGAUGGCGAAGGCAGCCCCCUGGGCCGACACUGACGCUCAGGCACGAAAGCGUGGGGAGCAAACAGG
rnacentral:rRNA from 1 species